AACGGGGUAGAUAUCUGCGCGUUAAGUGUGAAGGAAACGGAAUGUGGGCCUUCAACGAAGUAAAUGGUAAAACAUUUAUGCGGUGCGGAUAUCACAUUCACCAAA
rnacentral:ncRNA from 1 species